GCAUUUUUAAUAAAACUUAGAAUGAACUUUAAUCAAAUAUACUUUUUUGCACUUUUUUUCUAAAGCAAGCUAAAAGUAACAGCUGAUAACUGACAGAAGAAAGAAUGCAAUUACAGAGUCACAAGCUGUGAAAAAAUUUGUCAACGCCGACUAUAUGAAAAAUCCGCAAUUACUUUUUGGGCAACCCAAUAUAUCCUUCCAAAUUUGGUAGAAAAAGCCCAACUCGGCAAUACUCUGUAAUUUGAAAUCAAAACGAAAAAAAAUUUUUUUUUCAUCAGUUGAACAUUUGGCGGAGAGUAAUUAGAAAUUUAAUUUCUUUCAGUACUAAAAUUGAAUAUAUAUAUUUGAAGACGAUCAGAUGGAAAUUGAGACCUGUAGUUUGUUCACAAAUUAACAUGGACAGACGGACAUAGCUAAAUUAAUUAAGAAAGUGAUUCUGAGUCGAUAGACCGGUAUUUCGCAGCUACAAACCACAAAACGAAAUCACUCCAUGCCAAAUAAUCCCUAAAAUGGCUGCUGGAGACAUAGAAGAAGUUGUUGGCAACCAAUUGGAUUGAAAGUAUUGGGUUGCACAAAAAGUAAUUGCGAAUUUUUUAAAAGAAAGUAAAUGCAUUUUUAAUAAAACUUAGAAUGAACUUUAAUCAAA